rnacentral:rRNA from 1 species
GUGGGGAAUAUUGCACAAUGGAGGAAACUCUGAUGCAGCGACGCCGCGUGAGUGAAGAAGUAGUUCGCUAUGUAAAGCUCUAUCAGCAGGGAAGAUAGUGACGGUACCUGACUAAGAAGCUCCGGCUAAAUACGUGCCAGCAGCCGCGGUAAUACGUAUGGAGCAAGCGUUAUCCGGAUUUACUGGGUGUAAAGGGAGUGUAGGUGGCCAGGCAAGUCAGAAGUGAAAGCCCGGGGCUCAACCCCGGGACUGCUUUUGAAACUGCAGGGAUAGAGUGCAGGAGGGGCAAGUGGAAUUCCUAGUGUAGCGGUGAAAUGCGUAGAUAUUAGGAGGAACACCAGUGGCGAAGGCGGCUUGCUGGACUGUAACUGACACUGAGGCUCGAAAGCGUGGGGAGCAAACAGGAUUAGAUACCCGUGUAGUCC